UACGUAGGGGGCAAGCGUUAUCCGGAUUCACUGGGUGUAAAGGGAGCGUAGACGGCGACGCAAGUCUGGAGUGAAAGCCCGGGGCCCAACCCCGGGACUGCUCUGGAAACUGCGGCGCUGGAGUACGGGAGGGGCAGGCGGAAUUCCUGGUGUAGCGGUGAAAUGCGUAGAUAUCAGGAGGAACACCGGUGGCGAAAGCGGCUCACUGGACUGCAACUGACACUGAGGCUCGAAAGUGUGGGUAUCAAACAGG
rnacentral:rRNA from 1 species